rnacentral:misc_RNA from 1 species
UACGGGGGGUGCGAGCGUUGUUCGGAAUUAUUGGGCGUAAAGCGCGCGCAGGCGGCCGUUUAAGUCUCACUGUGAAAGCCCGCGGCUCAGCCGCGGGAGGCCAGGGGAUACUGGGCGGCUGGAGACAGGUAGAGGCGAGCGGAAUUCCGGGUGUAGCGGUGGAAUGCGUAGAGAUCCGGAAGAACACCAGAGGCGAAGGCGGCUCGCUGGACCUGUUCCGACGCUGAGGCGCGUAAGCGUGGGGAGCGAACAGG